AUUUACAUCCAACACAUAUAACAAGCAAUUCGCUCAAUACUCGUAGGAGAAGAAAAUUUAGAACUACUCACGCACCUAAUUUAUCACAUCAAUAAAUAAAUAUGGGAGUUGAUCCCAUAUACAGCUCUUUCAAUCCAAAUUUCGCCAGUGAGCUCAACUCAAGCAAGGCUUUUAUUUAAAUCCAAGUGCGGAGACCAAUGAGAUCAACUCAAAGCAAUGCCUUACCCCAAUUUUUCAUAUCCAAAAAGAUCAAGUUUAAGCGAGACUAGCUCAAGCGGUGACUACUCGCCCAAUUCAUAUUCAUCAUAUACCAUAUAUAACACAAACAGCUCCAUAUUAUCAUCAGAACGACAAACACAAGUAAUUAUCAAUAAAUGAAUAUGCAACAAUAAAAAUACUCUUAAUUUAUUUAACCACAUGCCAAAACUAUAAAUAAUAUUAAAAUUACAAAAAUAAUCAAUAUCUAACUCACAGACUAAUCAACUCAAUUGCAACUGGUCUAGCUAAAGAGAAGAAAGGUUAGCUGAUACUAAUCAUUUAUACAAGUACAUUGACUUUUAUCGAUUUACUAAUAGAAUUAACCAAUUAAUUUUAUUAAAGAAGCAAAAAUAUACACACAGAGCUCCAUAUCAAUUUACCCGUCCAAUUUAUAUAUAUUAUAUACCAUAUAUAAAAUAUACAUAGCUCCAUAUUAUCCUCAAGGCGCUAAAUACAAGUAAUUAUCAAUAAAUAAAUAU
rnacentral:misc_RNA from 1 species